rnacentral:rRNA from 1 species
AAUCAACGCUGGCGGCGUGCCUAACACAUGCAAGUCGAACGCGAAAGUCCCGCAAGGGAUUAGUAGAGUGGCAAACGGGUGAGUAACACGUGGGUGACCUGCCUUCGAGUGGGGGAUAACGUCCCGAAAGGGACGCUAAUACCGCAUAACAUCCUGCCUUUUAAGAGGUGGAGAUCAAAGCUGGGGACCGUAAGGCCUGGCGCUGGAAGAGGGGCCCGCGUCUGAUUAGCUAGUUGGUGAGGAACGGCUCACCAAGGCAACGAUCAGUAUCCGGCCUGAGAGGGCGGACGGACACACUGGGACUGAGACACGGCCCAGACUCCUACGGGAGCAGCAGUGGGGAAUUGUUCGCAAUGGGCGCAAGCCUGACGACGCAACGCCGCGUGGAGGAUGAAGACCUUCGGGUCGU